rnacentral:rRNA from 1 species
AGUGAACGCUGGCGGUAGGCCUAACACAUGCAAGUCGAACGACCGCACAGUAAGCGCUCGCUCUUAAGGGUGGCGACUGGCGGACGGGUGAGGCAUACAUCGGAUUCUACUUUUUCGUGGAGGACUACGUAGGGCAACAUCUGCUAAUACCGCACAUGACCUACGGGAGAGUGCAGGGGUUCUUCGUACUUUUCCUGUUUGUAUGAGCCGAUGUCGGAUUAGCUAGUUGGCGGGGUAAAGGCACACCAAGGCAACGAUCCGUAGCUGGUCUGAGAGGAUGAUCAGCCACACUGGAACUGAGACACGGUCCAGACUCCUACGGGAGGCAGCAGUGGGGAAUAUUGGACAAUGGGCGCAAGCCUGAUCCAGCCAUGCCGCGUGGGUGAAGAAGGCUUUCGGGUUGUAAAGCCCUUUUGUUAGGAAAGAAAAGCAGCAUGUGAAUACCCCGCUGUUCUGACGGUACCCAAAGAAUAAGCACCGGCUAACUUCGUG